UACGAAGGGUGCAAGCGUUAAUCGGAAUUACUGGGCGUAAAGCGUGCGUAGGCGGUGCGUUAAGUCUGUCGUGAAAUCCCCGGGCUCAACCUGGGAAUGGCGAUGGAUACUGGCUCGCUAGAGUGUGAUAGAGGAUGGUGGAAUUCCCGGUGUAGCGGUGAAAUGCGUAGAGAUCGGGAGGAACAUCAGUGGCGAAGGCGGCCAUCUGGAUCAACACUGACGCUGAGGCACGAAAGCGUGGGGAGCAAACAGG
rnacentral:rRNA from 1 species